UACGAAGGGGGCUAGCGUUGUUCGGAAUCACUGGGCGUAAAGCGCACGUAGGCGGCUUUUUAAGUCAGGGGUGAAAUCCUGGAGCUCAACUCCAGAACUGCCUUUGAUACUGGGAAGCUUGAGUCCGGAAGAGGUGAGUGGAACUCCGAGUGUAGAGGUGAAAUUCGUAGAUAUUGGGAAGAACACCGGUGGCGAAGGCGGCCAUCUGGACCGCAACUGACGCUGAGGCGCGAAAGCGUGGGGAGCAAACAGG
rnacentral:rRNA from 1 species